rnacentral:rRNA from 1 species
GAUGAACGCUGGCGGCGUGCCUAAUACAUGCAAGUCGAGCGAACAGACGAGGAGCUUGCUCCUCUGACGUUAGCGGCGGACGGGUGAGUAACACGUGGAUAACCUACCUAUAAGACUGGGAUAACUUCGGGAAACCGGAGCUAAUACCGGAUAAUAUAUUGAACCGCAUGGUUCAAUAGUGAAAGACGGUUUUGCUGUCACUUAUAGAUGGAUCCGCGCCGCAUUAGCUGGUUGGUAAGGUAACGGCUUACCAAGGCAACGAUGCGUAGCCGACCUGAGAGGGUGAUCGGCCACACUGGAGCUGAGACACGGUCCAGACUCCUACGGGAGGCAGCAGUAGGGAAUCUUCCGCAAUGGGCGAAAGCCUGACGGAGCAACGCCGCGUGAGUGAUGAAGGUCUUCGGAUCGUAAAACUCUGUUAUUAGGGAAGAACAAAUGUGUAAGUAACUAUGCACGUCUUGACGGUACCUAAUCAGAAAGCCACGGCUAACUACGUG